rnacentral:lncRNA from 1 species
GCUUUUGUUAUGUUCAACCAGUUCAGUUUUUUUUUUCAGCGAUUUUUGUUUUUAGACUUCUAAUUAUGUUACAAUCUGUAGAGGCUCUUCAAAAUAUCUCCAAGGACUCCAGACAGGCUGGUGGGCACAACCAAGACCAAGUGUCAACAAAGGAUAUGCCUCCAGGAACCCACAUCACCCUGCAUUCCUCUGCUGUUAUUUUUAGUUAAGUGGGGUGAAUGUGAGCGUUGAAGUAGCUCCUGUCUUUGAAUGCAGGUCUCCAGCGUGGAUGUGAAACUUUCAUCCAGUGCCAGGCAGUGAAGUGGAAACUGGCUGCCUGAGAUAUUUUCACUUAUGAGAUUGCAAGCAGAUACAUUUCUGUGGUUGUGAAGUACCAACGUCUAGGCACGCUGCCAUAAUUCAAAGACAGCUAAGAAAUGUGAAUCUCGAAAGUGUGGUCCACUGUCUGCUGGAAAUCUACAAAGGUGGAAAUCAAAUACUCUAGAUGCACAGCACAGGGUUUGGAGGCUGAAGACUCCUAGGAGCAAGAAAGGAAGGAGAGAACCCAAGGAAACCCUGUCCAGGGUAGAGCGGUGGAAACGUGGCGCUAACAAAGACUUCCUGUUCGGCACAGAAUCCAGGCUGGCAGAGGCGGCUGCAGGGCUGUGGGUGUACUCAGCUGUGCAGAGCUGAUUAUAGAAGAUGAAAGGGCUUGGCAAUUCACUUCAUCUCAUGCUGAAACACUGCUGACAACUGAAAGUGAGGACAGAAGGAUUCAUUUGUUCAACUUCUGUUUUAAAAAGCAGACUUCAAAUGAUACCAUGGAGAAAAGGAGGCGGGGCCCUGGUGUAAUGGUGUAAUGCGAUGCUUUUUUUUUUUUUUUAUAACACACUAGCUGCAGCGUUUAUGUUUUGUACAUGGCU